UACGGAGGGUGCAAGCGUUAUCCGGAUUUACUGGGCGUAAAGGGCGCGUAGGCGGCCACCGCAAGUCGACUGUGAAAUCUCCGGGCUUAACCCGGAAAGGUCAGCCGAUACUGCGGGGCUAGAGUGCAGAAGGGGCAACUGGAAUUCUCGGUGUAGCGGUGAAAUGCGUAGAUAUCGAGAGGAACACCUGCGGCGAAGGCGGGUUGCUGGGCUGACACUGACGCUGAGGCGCGAAAGCUAGGGGAGCGAACGGG
rnacentral:rRNA from 1 species